rnacentral:ncRNA from 1 species
UCUCAAGCGUGAGGUAAGGGCAAUUCGUGGAUGCCUAGGCAUGUAGAGGCGAUGAAGGACGUGGCACGCUGCGAUAAGCGUGGGGGAGCUGUGAGCAAGCAUUGAUCCCACGAUUUCCGAAUGGGGAAACCCACCUAUCCGAUCAAUCUCGAACGUUGUCGCAAGACGGCUGUCGGGGUUGGUUGGGCAAGGUAUCUUGAGACUGAAUUCAUAGGUUUCGAGAAGCGAACCCGGCGAACUGAAACAUCUCAGUAGCUGGAGGAAAAGACAUCAACCGAGAUUCCGUUAGUAGUGGCGAGCGAACGCGGACCAGGCCAGUGCCUGAUAUUCAACUAGCAGAACACUCUGGAAAGUGUGGCCAUAGCGGGUGACAGCCCCGUAUGCGAAAGUGAUGUAUCAGGACUCGAGUAGGGCGGGACACGUGUAAUCCUGUCUGAACAUAGGGGGACCACCCUCUAAGCCUAAAUACUCCUACAUGACCGAUAGUGAACUAGUACCGUGAGGGAAAGGUGAAAAGCACCCCGAUGAGGGGAGUGAAACAGUACCUGAAACGGAUUGCCUACAAGCAGUGGGAGGGGUUUUAUGCCCUGACCGCGUACCUCUUGCAUAAUGGGUCUGUGACUUAAUGUACCAAGCAAGCUUAAGCCGAUAGGUGUAGGCGCAGCGAAAGCGAGUCUGAAUAGGGCGAAUGAGUUUGGUGUAUUAGACCCGAAACCCGGCGAUCUAGGCAUGACCAGGAUGAAGGUGCGGUAACACGCACUGGAGGUCCGAACCGAUUAACGUUGAAAAGUUACCGGAUGAGUUGUGUUUAGGGGUGAAAGGCCAAUCAAGCCGGGAAAUAGCUGGUUCUCCGCGAAAACUAUUGAGGUAGUGCCUCGAGCGAAUACCCUAGGGGGUAGAGCACUGGAUGGGCUAGGGCGGCGCGAGCUGUACCAAACCUAACCAAACUCCGAAUACCUAGGAGUACUACUCGGGAGACAGACGGCGGGUGCUAAGGUCCGUCGUCAAAAGGGAAACAGCCCUGACCUACAGCUAAGGUCCCCAAGUCACGUCUAAGUGGGAAAGCAUGUGGGAAUCCCAAAACAACCAGGAGGUUGGCUUAGAAGCAGCCAUCCUUUAAAGAAAGCGU